GUCUACCGCAAUACCACGUUCGCUCACUGAAGUUAAGCAGCGUCGGGCUCGGUUACUACUUGGAUGGGUGACCGCCUGGGAAAACCGAGUGCUGUAGAAU
rfam:Lottia gigantea unplaced genomic scaffold LOTGIsca_27, whole genome shotgun sequence.